rnacentral:rRNA from 1 species
GUGGGGAAUCUUCCGCAAUGGACGAAAGUCUGACGGAGCGACGCCGCGUGAGUGAAGAAGGCCUUCGGGUCGUAAAGCUCUGUCAUCAGGGACGAAUGGCCGGUGGAGUGGAAAGCCACCGGAUUGACGGUACCCGAGAAGGAAGCCACGGCUAACUACGUGCCAGCAGCCGCGGUAAUACGUAGGUGGCAAGCGUUGUCCGGAAUUAUUGGGCGUAAAGCGCGCGUAGGUGGGAUCUUAAGUCUAUUUUGAAAGUUCGGAGCUUAACUCCGUGAUGGGAUAGAAACUGGGAUUGUUGAGUACCGGAGAGGAAAGCGGAAUUCCCCGUGUAGCGGUGAAAUGCGUAGAUAUGGGGAGGAACACCAGUGGCGAAGGCGGCUUUCUGGACGGUGUCUGACACUGAGGCGCGAAAGCCAGGGGAGCGAACGGGAUUAGAUACCCGGGUAGUCC